rnacentral:rRNA from 1 species
GUACACUCCUACGGGAGGCAGCAGUGGGGAAUAUUGCACAAUGGGCGCAAGCCUGAUGCAGCCAUGCCGCGUGUAUGAAGAAGGCCUUCGGGUUGUAAAGUACUUUCAGCGGGGAGGAAGGCGAUAAGGUUAAUAACCUUGUUGAUUGACGUUACCCGCAGAAGAAGCACCGGCUAACUCCGUGCCAGCAGCCGCGGUAAUACGGAGGGUGCAAGCGUUAAUCGGAAUUACUGGGCGUAAAGCGCACGCAGGCGGUCUGUCAAGUCGGAUGUGAAAUCCCCGGGCUCAACCUAGGAACUGCAUUCGAAACUGGCAGGCUAGAGUCUUGUAGAGGGGGGUAGAAUUCCAGGUGUAGCGGUGAAAUGCGUAGAGAUCUGGAGGAAUACCGGUGGCGAAGGCGGCCCCCUGGACAAAGACUGACGCUCAGGUGCGAAAGCGUGGGGAGCAAACAGGAUUAGAAACCCCGGUAGUCCCAUGA